rnacentral:rRNA from 1 species
UAAAGUUGUUGCAGUUAAAAAGCUCGUAGUUGAAUUUCGGGGUCAGCAGGUUGGUCGUGCCACUGGUAUGCACUGGCUUCGCUGAUUCCUCCUUUCUGAAGAACUGUAAUGUCAUUAAUUUGGUGUUGCAGGGAAACAGGACUGUUACUUUGAAAAAAUUAGAGUGUUUAAAGCAGGCAAUCGCUUGAAUACAUUAGCAUGGAAUAAUGAAAUAGGACGUUCGACCCUAUUUGUUGGUUUCUAGGAUUGACGUAAUGAUUAAUAGGG